UACGAAGGGUGCAAACGUUGCUCGGAAUUAUUGGGCGUAAAGCGCACGUAGGCGGCUUUGCAAGUCGGAUGUGAAAGCCCUCGGCUCAACCGAGGAAGUGCAUCCGAAACUGCCGAGCUUGAGUACUUAAGAGGAUCGCGGAAUUCCCGGUGUAGAGGUGAAAUUCGUAGAUAUCGGGAGGAACACCAGUGGCGAAGGCGGCGAUCUGGGAAGAUACUGACGCUGAGGUGCGAAAGCGUGGGGAGCAAACAGG
rnacentral:rRNA from 1 species